rnacentral:rRNA from 1 species
CACGUAGGGGGCGAGCGUUGUCCGGAUUUAUUGGGCGUAAAGAGCUCGUAGGCGGUUCACUAAGUCGGGUGUGAAACCUCCAGGCUCAACCUGGAGACGCCACCUGAUACUGGUGUGACUAGAGUCCGGUAGGGGAGUGUGGAACUCCUGGUGUAGCGGUGAAAUUCGUAGAUAUCGAGAAGAACACCGGUGGCGAAGGCGGCCAACUGGACGGUGACUGACACUGAGACGCGAAAGCGUGGGGAGCAAACAGG